rnacentral:rRNA from 1 species
GACGAACGCUGGCGGCGUGCUUAACACAUGCAAGUCGAACGGAAAGGCCCUGCUUUUGUGGGGUGCUCGAGUGGCGAACGGGUGAGUAUCACGUGAGUAACCUGCCCUUGACUUUGGGAUAACUUCAGGAAACUGGGGUGAUAAUAGGAUAUGAGAUCCUGCUGCACGGUGGGGGUGGGAAAGUGUCGGCGGUUGGGGAUGGACGCGCGGUUUAUCAGCUUGUUGGUGGGGUGGUGGCGUACCAAGGCUUUGAGGGGUAGCCGGCCUGAGAGGGUGACCGGCCACAUUGGGACUGAGGUACGGCCCAGACGCCUACGGGAGGCAGCAGUGGAGAAUAUUGCACAAUGGGCGGAAGCCUGAUGCAGCAACGCCGCGUGCGGGAUCACGGCCUUCGGGUUGUAACCCGCUUUCGCCUGUGACGAAGCGUGAGUGACGGUAAUGGGUAAAGAAGCACCGGCUAACUACGUG